UACGAGGGGAGCAAGCGUUGUUCGGAUUUACUGGGCGUAAAGGGCGCGUAGGCGGCUCUACAAGUCACUUGUGAAAUCUCCGGGCUUAACUCGGAACGGUCAAGUGAUACUGUCGAGCUAGAGUACAGAAGGGGCAACUGGAAUUCUCGGUGUAGCGGUGAAAUGCAUAGAUAUGUCACAGAACACCAAUUGCGAAGGCAGCUUACUAUGGUUUUAUUGACACUGAGGCACGAAAGCGUGGGGAUCAAACAGG
rnacentral:rRNA from 1 species